ACGAUUAUUUGUGGAAUCGUAUUUUUUGGAAAACUUAUUUUUUAAACGAAAUAAUUAUAAAGGAAUUAUUUUAAUAAUACGUACAAAGAACAUUUCAAAAUAAUUAGGGUUAAAUUAACGAUUGGAACUAAUUGAAACGUUGGAUGAGGCGUCAGCAGCAUUUAUAAAUAAACAAUACCAAACAGCUUGUAAUAAAUAUAAAGUAGCUGUACAAUUAUUUGCAAGCUUAAAUCCAAAUGUAAAAGAUAAUAUUCAACAUACAACAGA